UUACAUUAGAGAUGCUACUUUUUUUCUUUCUAUUCAGAUAUUUCCUGUGAGAAUCCACCCAAAGUGAAAAAUGCUAUUAUACUAAGUGAGAAGCCUACUUAUCUACCUGGUCAGAGCGCCCGUUAUGAAUGCAUCAAACCUUUUGAACUGUUUGGGGAAGUAGAAGUGAUAUGUUUAAAUGGGACCUGGACACAACCCCCUCAGUGUGCAGAUCCUAAAGGAAAAUGUGGGCCUCCUCCACCUAUUGACAAUGGAGACAUUACCUCAUUCCCAUCAUCAACAUAUGCUCCAGAAUCAUCAGUAGAGUACAAAUGCCAGUCCUUCUAUGUACUUCAGGGAUACAGGACCAUAAGAUGUAGAAAUGGACAGUGGUCAUCACCACCAAAAUGCUUAGAGGCCUGUACAGUAUCAGAAGACACAAUGAGAACACAUAAUAUACGAUUUCGAUGGUCUUCUGAGCCAAAACUUUAUUCUAAAAUGAGGGAUAUUAUUGAAUUUGAAUGUGUCCCUGGACAUCAUCAAAGGACCCCACCGCAUACAUUCCGAGCCACCUGUCGGGAAGGAAAACUGACGUAUCCUCAAUGUUGGUAAUACAGUGGUGAAGAUGCAGUCCUAAAAUUAAAAUAUACAUUUAGUCAGAAUUUUUCAUUAUCAAUCCAAUUCUCAGUUUAUUUUGUCAAAUAUUGUGUAACUUAUUUAUAUUCAUAAAUCAGAAGUUGUAUUAAAUAUUAUGUGGAUGAUGUAAUUAUAAUCAGAGAGAUGAAUAAAUCACUUCUUAAAAGCGCCUCAUUAAAACUUGGCAAACCAAAA